rnacentral:rRNA from 1 species
GACGAACGCUGGCGGCGUGCUUAACACAUGCAAGUCGAACGGCAAGGCCCUGCUUUUGUGGGGUGCUCGAGUGGCGAACGGGUGCGUAACACGUGAGUAACCUGCCCUUGACUUUGGUAUAACUUCAGGAAACUGGGGCUAAUACCGUAUCGGAGCUCCUGCUGCAUGGUGGGGGUUGGAAAGUUUCGGCGGUUGGGGAUGGACUCGCGGCUUAUUAGCUUGUUGGUGGGGUAGUGGCUUACCAAGGCUUUGACGGGUAGCCGGCAUGAGAGGGUGACCGGCCACAUUGGGACUGAGAGACGGCCCAGACUCCUACGGGAGGCAGCAGUGGGGAAUAUUGCACAAUGGGCGGAAGCCUGAUGCAGCAACGCCGCGUGCGGGAUGACGGCCUUCGGGUUGUAAACCGCUUUAGCCUGUGACGAAGCGUGAGUGACGGUAAUGGGUAAAGAAGCACCGGCUAACUACGUG